UUUUAGACUUGAAAUAAGCAAUAUACAUUUGCAUGUUGUGUGAAAACGAAUGUAAUACUCUUCUUGCCUUUACCCAGCACUUGAAAGUGCAUAAAAAUGCACCAAAUCCACCGGACCUACUGUACUGGUACCAUGCAUUGUUCUUCUGCUAAUGGCAUACUUUAAGGAGAAGUCUGAUGGACUGAUUUUUGAAGUUGAUGCCAUGGACACACCGGCCACUUUCUUUGCCAGACUCUCCAAGACUGAUUUUUCAAGCAGGCCUGGCAGCUUUGUUUGACUCAUUCUAUAAUUUCAACCUGGAAUACCAAGAGGAAGCCUCAUGCACUCUCGAAUUCAUCUAAAGGUGCUUUGUGGGGAUUAACCCAACCACUGGCUCCAAGAACUCUGCUGAAAAGGUUAUCAGCAAAAAAGUGGCAAAGUAGUGGAGAAAAAGAAACACUCAAUGAAUGCUAAUGUUUGCAGUCUUCUAAGAAAACUAAUGGAUUUUGAGUAAUGUCCUUCUGAUGGAAACCUGUUUACCUGCCCGAGAUUAAGGAAUAAAGUCAAGACUGCCGUGCCAACAAUGCUGCUCCUGCCGGAUGUGACGGGACCUGAAGUGUUUGCACCAAGGAUGUCAAGAACUCACUACAGACUUUAUUACAGACUGGACUGAAUAAUAACUCUAUUAUUAUUUAUUUGCUAGUUAUAACUUUUAGUUCAUUUUAAUUCUGUGUUUGUAUGAUUUGUGUAAAUACUAUUUAUUUAAAGUAUCCCCCAGACCACCCUAGAAGGAUGGGCCCUGCUGAGUCUGGUUCCUCUCAAGGUUUCUUCCUGUAAUUUUAAGGGAGUUUUUCCUUGCCACUCUCGCCCUCGGCUUGCUCAACAGGAGUUUUUGUAUCUGUUGGUCCUGGAUCUUGUAAAGUUGCUUUGAGACAAUUGUCUCUGUAAUUGUCUAUUGUAAAAAGCGCUAUAUAAAUAAAGUUGACUUGACUUGAA